rnacentral:tRNA from 1 species
CCGUCGGUAGCUCAGCUGGUAGAGCGGUGGACUGUAGAUCCAUAGGUCGGUGGUUCAAAGCCGCCUCGACGGA